rnacentral:rRNA from 1 species
GACGUAGGGCGCGAGCGUUGUCCGGAUUUAUUGGGCGUAAAGAGCUCGCAGGCGGCUUGUCGCGUCGUCCGUGAAAACCCACAGCUCAACUGUGGGCUUGCGGUCGAUACGGGCAGGCUAGAGUUCGGUAGGGGAGACUGGAAUUCCUGGUGUAGCGGUGAAAUGCGCAGAUAUCAGGAGGAACACCGGUGGCGAAGGCGGGUCUCUGGGCCGAUACUGACGCUGAGGAGCGAAAGCGUGGGGAGCGAACAGG